GAUGAACGCUAGCGGCAGGCCUAACACAUGCAAGUCGAGGGGUAACUAGAGUGAUAGCAAUAUUACUUUGGCUAGACCGGCGCACGGGUGCGUAACACGUAUGCAACCUACCUUAUACUGGGGAAUAACUUCGAGAAAUCGGCGCUAAUACCCCAUAACAUUGCGAAGAGGCAUCUCUUUGCAAUUAAAGCUCCGGCGGUAUAAGAUGGGCAUGCGUCCAAUUAGCUAGUUGGUGAGGUAACGGCUCACCAAGGCUACGAUUGGUAGGGGUUCUGAGAGGAUGAUCCGCCACACGGGUACUGAGACACGGACCAGACGCCUACGGGAGGCAGCAGUGAGGAAUAUUGCGCAAUGGACGAAAGUCUGACGCAGCCAUGCCGCGUGCAGGAUGACGGCCCUAUGGGUUGUAAACUGCUUUUGUACGGGAAUAAACCCUUCUACGUGUAGGAGGCUGAAGGUACCGUAAGAAUAAGCACCGGCUAACUCCGUGCCAGCAGCCGCAGUAA
rnacentral:rRNA from 1 species